GACAGGGAAGGGUUAAGAUGAGGCACAGGGAUUCCAUAUGGCAAGUGGAAGCCUCUCUGUUAGUUCUGAGAAGAGGAAUGAAGAGCUCACUCCUCUCUCCCUUCCACGGUGCUCAGCUCUGCUUUCCUAAUUCAGCCUCAGGACGGCUGAAGGACGUGGGCAUUCCUCCCAUGUUCGCCUCAUUCCCACAGCAGCCGUAUACUUGUCUUACCCGUUCUUGUCUUGAACCCUCCACCAGUGGACCUCGGAGCUGUCCAGCAGAACAAGAUGUAGAACUCUCAGCUCCUUCUCCAGCACCAUGUCUGCCUGAACAAUGCCAUGCUUCCUACCUGGAUGAUAGUGGACUAAACUUCUGAAACUGGAAGGUCUCAUGUAACUGAGAAUGUCCUUACACUCCAGAUCUUCUUGCCUCUACCUCCCCUGUGCUGGGAUCCCAGGUCUCUGAGGGACAUUACCUCUGUGACUGUCCUAGUGGCCUUGCUCUGGACUCUUUCUCCAACUUCAAACUCGACAACUACAGGCCCAGUACUGCUUCCUCCAUAUUGCUGGAACCUCUUCCUCCUACCUCUGUGACAUUUAAGGAUCCUGAGAACCACCAAGGUGGAGAGCCACCCAUCCCACAAUGAUCGUCUAGGACAGGUACCCCAUUUUAAGGUCAGAAGAUGGGCACUGUAACUCCACUUGGUAUUGUAAUUUCCCUUUGUCACUCAACUUCAUACAGUCACAGGUUUGUAGGCAUUAGGACAUGGAAAGAUUUGCACAGGGCUGUUAUUCUACUUAUAAGUUUGAAUGCCUUCGCUACCACUUAACACGAUGGCUUGGAAUUUUAGUUCCUUUGUCUGUGAAAGGA